GACGAACGCCGGCGGCGUGCCUAACACGUGCAAGUGGAGCGACGAACCAGGGCUUGCCCUGGGGCAAAGCCGCGAACGGGUGAGUAACACGUGGGUAACCUGCCCCGAUGACCAGGACAACCCGAGGAAACUCGGGCUAAUACCGGAUGUGCUCCACGCGCAUAAGCGCGUGGAGCAAAGGAAGCUUCGGCCUCCGCCUCGGGAGGGGCCCGCGGCCCAUUAGCUAGUUGGUGAGGUAACGGCUCACCAAGGCAACGAUGGGUAGCUGGUCUGAGAGGACGAUCAGCCACACUGGGACUGAGACACGGCCCAGACUCCUACGGGAGGCAGCAGUGGGGAAUCUUGCGCAAUGCGCGAAAGCGUGACGCAGCAACGCCGCGUGGGGGAAGAAGGCCUUCGGGUUGUAAACCCCUUUCAGGAGGGACGAAGGUGCGGCGGCGAACAGCCGUCCGUACUGACGGUACCUCCAGAAGAAGCCCCGGCUAACUACGGGCCAGCCGCCGCGGUAACAC
rnacentral:rRNA from 1 species